UACGUAGGGACCAAGCGUUGUUCGGAUUUACUGGGCGUAAAGGGCGCGUAGGCGGCCCCGCAAGUCACUUGUGAAAUCUCCGGGCUUAACUCGGAACUGCCAAGUGAAACUGCAGGGCUAGAGUGCGGAAGGGGCAAUCGGAAUUCUUGGUGUAGCGGUGAAAUGCGCAGAUAUCAGGAAGAACACCCGUGGCGAAGGCGGCUCUCUGGGACGGUACUGACGCUGAGACGCGAAAGCGUGGGGAGCGAACAGG
rnacentral:rRNA from 1 species